UAGUACUUAAAGCAAACGUUUAUUUCGCAAGGGUGCGUGAUUUACUAGUUUGAACAUUUGUGCUAUGAAAUACAUACAUAUUAAAAGACAGUAUAGAGACGCACCAUAGUUGGC